UUCACUGAAAAUUUAACCGCAAUUUGCCAAACCCAAUUUAUACCAUCCCGCACCCAAACCCCAAUUCUCCCUCUCCCCAUCUUCAGCUCGGCUGCAAAUUUGCAUUCCACUUUCACAUCUGCUGUCUCCGCGACUCCGUCUGCAAUUCCCCUCCCAUAUCUGAUCUAUCCCUGAAUUCAAUUUUUUGAUCUUCCCUCUCAACUUCUGUAUUUUCCAUCUUCAUAGAAAAAUCCCUUUCAUUCAACUUUCUCUCUCAUUUUCAUUAUCAUCAUUCUAAAGAAUUGGAUUAUUGCACGAUACCACUGUGGUGUUCGAAUGCAGUUUGUGGCCAGUUGGAGUAUUCACGAAUCAUGAAGUUGGGGAAUGCUAUCUUGGUUUGGAAAAUCCAGUGCGUUUCUUUACAAAUAAUAGAAAACUACUGAGUUUUUGUUAAAUUUUGACGGAACCUGUGCAGAUCUUUGAAAUUUGAAAGUGAGUGAUAGUCGUAGCAUUUAGUUUGUGUCUAUCUGUGUUAUUUCUAAUUUUAAAUUUAUAUUUUUUCUUUGUACUUAUGCUUUUGUGAAAUACCGGUGAAUGUAAUCUAUUGGGAAGCUCAUAAAUGGAAGUAAUUCUGCCUGGUGGAGGUGGCACUUUAUUAUUAAACUUCAAUUUUGUGUAUCACUCUAUAUGUUUAUACAUACGUGCUAGAUCACUGUCUACAUUUUUGUUAUACGUUAGUUUCCAAUAGUAAGCUCUGUGAUGAACUCAUGGUAUGCAAUGUGUUGUUGAGUCCAAUGGUUAUGGUUGUUUAAAAUCAGCACGGAAAUCUGGUCUGCUCCUCACUUCAGCACUUGCUAUUCUUCAUUAUGGCAGGUAUGAAUGACAUUGAAGAGCAACGAAAAGUUCAAAAUCACCUUAAGAGGAAUACGGCAUGAAUAAUCACGAAUAAGAAGCGGAAAUCACGUGAAUAACAUUUCAGUGAUGGUGAAUAAUGAAUGCAGAAAUAGAGUUACUGCAAAUUGAAAUUCUACUUCAUUAAAAAUUUCCUGGUCAGGCAAAUGCAAGCGUGGAGUGACCGUUCAGCGUCAAAGGGGAAAAAAUAGAGGAUGGACUGAAGUUUCAAGCGGCAGUGUGGUAGCAUUUUGAGAAUCAUCGAUGGAGCACCUUCACAGAUUUGUUUACAAACAACCAGUUGAUCAUGUGAAGUUGAUUCCUGAUUAUUUUAGUUAUUGAACCAAUGAAUUUGGGAACGAUAAAUCGUAAACUAGAGGACAAUAAAUACUUUUAUGAAGAGGAAUUUGCUAGUGAUAUUAGGCUGACUUUUUCAAGUGCGAUAUGUUAUAAUCCUUUUGGGAACUAUGCGAAAGAAUUGAAUAUGAUCUUCUCAGUGGGAGAUAGAAAUUAUUCAAUACAAAAUUGAAGUACACGUGAAGAAAUCUCAAACAGUUAUGCGAUGUAGAUAGAAUAGGAAAGAAUGACCAAGAUACAAAGGCCAUUAUAGAAAAGAAAGGCCAAAAUGCAAAUCAGUCUCCCCUAACAAAUCUCGAGGGAACAUCAGUCUUUGGAACAGCGGCCAAUGUCGUUGGAGUAAAAGAAGAUUUGAGUAAAAGAGCUUUUGAAAAUAUCGAGCAAAAAGAUGACAGAAACUAUAAGGUUCAUGUUCGAAACGUUUUUUAUGGCCAGACUGAAAGAAGAAAAAGAUGGUUCUUAUAUUCAUGUGAUUGACAAUGAAAUUUUAUUGAAGCUGGAACGAAAGAGAGAUAAAGGUUCUUUGGAUGCAAUGAAAGAAAAGGUGAGUAAAUUUAAUUGUGCAGAUAAUUUGGUUGUGUGAUUCUUUCUUCCUUUAUCAAUUCUGUGUAGUUUCUCUAUCUCUCUCCAUUUUUAUUUUUUAUUUUUGGGAUUGCCACAAUGUUGUCCUGCCUUCGUUGCUCUAUCCAUGUUAUGUUGAUCCUUGGUAGUUGUCACUAGACCUGUCUUUUCAUAAAUCCUUGAUUCUGUAGGUUCUUCUCAACAGAGGAAGCCUGCAAGAACUACACAAAGUCACGUUAGUGAAAACUGUUCAUAAGAUCAAGACUUGACAGAAUAAGUUUGUGCUUUCUGGUUCUUUCCAUGACCUGAUUGGCCAUGUAUCUUGUAUGCAGAUAAUGGCAUUCAAUGUGCAUUUGCUGCUUCCAAUAGAAAACAACCAUUUGAUUUCCCUGCAGUCGAAUGUGCUGCAAGUGGUAGUCUGUUGUGCCAAUGAAGCCUUAGAUGUUCUGCUAAGCCAUCUUUCAGUGAUGAGUUAAAUUCUUGUAUCAGCUGUUAGUAGGUUCCAUUUGUGUUCCUGUCAACCAAUUUGGAGUGCUUUUCAUUUUUAUUCAGUUUUUUCUUCAGAAAGAUCAUGAUCGUAAUCACUAUGGUGACUCUAUAUCUGGAAGUUUCAGCAUGUUCUUGUUUCACCAAAUAGUUUUAUUUAAUAUAACAUGCAACUUUUGGCUGAUUGUCGCUACUUUUUCAUUAGGAUCGUCAGCUUAAAUAUCCCGUGACAUCUCAUACAAGAUGAUUGAAGCUGGAUUCUAAUGGUGAGAGCAAAUGCUGUUAAUUAUAUGUUUGUAAUCGUGUAUCUAGUUUUUUUUAUUGUUUGAGCUUUGACACGCCACUGCCAAUGAUGUUUAGGACAUGAAAAUGUUUCCAAUUAAGACCUACUGAAGUAGGUGUUUGGAUGAGCUUGAUUGAAGCUGGAUUCUAAUGGUGAGAGCAAAUGCUGUUAAUUAUAUGUUUGUAAUCGUGUAUCUAGUUCAUUUUUUUAUUGUUUGAGCUUUGACACGUCACUGCCAAUGAUGUUUAGGACAUGAAAAUGUUUCCAAUUAAGACCUACUGAAGUAGGUGUUUGGAUGAGCUUGAGCUCAUGGAGUUCUUCUUGUUCCCUCAUUUUAUCUCCCUAUGCUGAGAGAUAUCUUGUUUCUAACCAGGCUUGAUGGAAAUCUUUCAUUUUUCUGAAUCUGAUUAUGAGUCUUGUCUUACUCCCAUGGGCACACAGAUACAUGCAUGCAAUGUUGUAGAUGUAAGAAAAUGAUGUAAGUUUGCCCCCACCAAAUUCCAAGAUCUGAGCUAUUGAACCUUGGAAAUAUGAAGACUUGAUUUAUCUUAUGUAUUUGUUUUAUAAUGGUCUUCACUAGUUCAUAUGUUACAACUAUAUUCAGAGCUACACAUGACUCUCUUGAAUCAUUUAAUGAAUUUUUAUGGCUUGCAGAAAUUUCGGAAUAGAUACUAGGUUGGUUGAGCUCUCUUCGAUUUGUGGACUUACUAAUAUCUCUGUUCUGUUGAUUUUUGUUCAGGACGAGAAGAUUAAUCCUGUCAAUGGGCACAAAGAAAAGGGAAGACUGGAAAGGCAGGAGCAUGAAGGUGAUCUAAGCAUAUCCUUGAUUUAACAUUAUGAUGUAUUGUCAUAUUUUUGUGUUAAAAAAAUUUUCCUUCCUAUGAACCUUUGAAACUUUACGUACGAUUUUUGCCUUACUGGGCUUUUAUUAUCAUGUGAGUAGAAACGCCAUUCGGUACUAGAGGCUUUAAAACACGAUAAGUCCAGUUAAAUAGAUUAUAUAUUCGUUCAUAUAGUUAACUUUAAUUGGACUUACCCUUUAAUGCCAACUAAACUAAAAUAAAUUAAACUAGUGUUUUAGCACCAAUAGUGCUCGAUAGCAUUAUUCUUAACUUGUGUUUAACUUUUUUUAUUUUUUGAUGAUCAGUAGAUGUUGCUCAAGAUGCAGUUGGUUCACAUCAAAAUACCAAGGAAUCUUCAGCUUCAAAUUAAUGCAGAAUAUCUCAAAGAAGAAAGAAUCAUACCAUACAGCUGACUUGUCUGCGACAUUGAAUUUAUCACCUUUCCUUUUAUUUCAUCCAAAGAAAUCUUUAUUGCUCUUUCUGUCCAGCUUGGGAAAAGUUUCAUUGUCGAUCAUGUCAAUAUAAGAAUCGAGUUUUUCUUCUCUCAAUCUGGCCAUACAAAACUUUUCAAACACGGACCUUAAAGCUUCAACUAUCUUUCUGCUUGAUAUUUUCAAAAGCUUUUUUCGUCAAAUUUUGCUUUUGCUCUUAAAAGACUGUGGCCUAUUGUGGCCGUAAAGCUUUUAUUAAGGCAAUAUUGUUUUGCAUUUUGGCCUUUCUUUUUUAUAAUGGGUUUGUAUCUUGGCCAUUCUUUCCACUUCCUCUACAUUGCAUAACCGUUCGAGAUUUCUACCGUGCACUUCAAUUUUGUCUGCUGUAAUUUCCAUCUCCUGAAAUCAUCAUUCAAUUCCUUUGCAUAGUUCCUAGGAGGAUUGUUGUGUAUCACAUUGACAAAAUGAACCUAACAUCAUUAGCCAAUUCCUCUGCAUCAAAGUAUGUAUUGUCCUCUAGUUUAUGCUUUAUCGUUCCUAAAUUCAUUGGUUCAAUAGUUAUUGGAACAGCAGUAGAUCAAUUGGCUGAUUUAGAGAAGAUCUGUGAAGGUUCCCAUCAAUGAUCUCAAAAUGCUACUACAUUGCUGCUUGAAACUUCAAUCCAUCCUAUGCUUCUUUUAUCCCCUUUGACACUCAAGGAUCACUCAACCUUACGCUUCUUGGAGUUACUUGACUAGGAAAAUUUAACUAAAUUAGAUAUUUUAUUUGCAUUAACUCCAUCUGUGCAUUCAUUUUUUAUUAUCAAUGUGAGGUUUUUCACGUGAUUUCUCUUGUGAUUUAUGCAAUAUUCCUUUUGAGGUGAUUUUGUACUUUAUGUUACCAACAGUUGCCACAAAUUUAAAUUCGUGAUUUAAGGAGAAUUGCAAGUUCUACAAUUAACAAUUUUGAUGUAUGUGCAUCCAUUUUGUACUACUGGAUUAAUUCCUCCAUUAAAUGAUCCAAU
rnacentral:lncRNA from 1 species